GGGGCAGUGGUCCCUUAAUCAUCUGUCUCCGAAACACUGCUUAGCACAGUGUCUACAAUCUCUUUAAUUAGGAUUUGUCCAUUAUUGAUACGAACUCUGUGGAGAUAGGAAGAACAUACACCUGCCAGAUAAGAAGUUUAGAGUCCAAGAAUCUUGUCUUAGAGACUUGUAUGUAAACAUCUCUUCACAGGACAACGGAUGGAUUUGGCCACAUACACUCGCUCCUACUACAGCACGCUGAUCUGGCUUCAGUUUCUCUUGGGGUUAAACAGCAAACAUCCCAUUUAACCAGAACACUGCUGAGUUUGGAGACUUGAGUCAUAAGCCUGGCAGUGCUCAGCAUUUUCCAGCCUCAUUUCUGAAGCUCCAAUAACAAGCCGCCAGAGAGGAGGGAGGGAUGGAUCAUCAGUCUCGUCCAGGUGCCUCUAGGUAACUGUGUCCAGAAGGAAACAGGAAACUGAAAGAGAAAAUGAGUCGCCCUGGGUGCUGGCUUCCUCCUCACGCACUCUCAGGCUGGAGGACUCCAACACAGGGCAUUUUCCCUGCAUCACUGAGCCUUUCGCUGAUACAAUUCCUACAGAAACUUGAGGUCCCUACCAGUGACUCUAAGAAACUGCCCUAUUGCCUGCCAGGGAGCCACACCAUGGAGCCUUUCUAAUAGCAGCUCUUGGGACUCCACAUCCUACACAUCCUUGCUCACUCCUGUCACCCUUGCCUCUGUCACUGUAGUCAUUCUGGAUGGUAGAAGGGGUUUUGAUUGGUGUCUCUGAGAGCUAAUCAUGUGGAGCUUUUUUUCAUGUAGAUAUUGAUAUUUGCAUAUCUUCUUUGGGUGGAUGUCUAUCUGAAUACUUUGCCCAUUUUUAAA